UACGAAGGUCCCAAGCGUUAUCCGGAUUUAUUGGGUUUAAAGGGUGCGUAGGCGGGUUAUUAAGUCAGUGGUGAAAGCCUUCAGCUUAACUGAAGAAUUGCCAUUGAUACUGAUGAUCUUGAGUAUGAUUGAGGUGGGCGGAAUGUGUCAUGUAGCGGUGAAAUGCUUAGAUAUGACACAGAACACCGAUUGCGAAGGCAGCUCACUAAGUCAUAACUGACGCUGAUGCACGAAAAGCGUGGGGAGCAAACAGG
rnacentral:rRNA from 1 species